rnacentral:rRNA from 1 species
UUUUAUAACUAAUUUUGUGCCAGCAGUUGCGGUUAAACAAAAGUUAAAUUAAAUUUUAUUAGUGAUUAAUUAGUAAAAUAUAAAAUAAAUUUUUAAAUAUUAAAUUUUUAAGUGAAAUUUUAAUUUAAUUUAAUUUUAUAAAAAUUUUAUGAUUUAAUAAAGUUAUAAAUAAAAACUAGGAUUAGAUACCCUAUUAUUAAAAUUUAAAUAUAUAAUACUAAAAUAGUAGGUAAUUAUUUAUUGAAACUUAAAUAAAUUGGCGGUAUUUUAGUUCAUUUAGAGGAAUCUGUUUAAUAAUUGAUAAUCCACGAAUAAAUUUACUUAAUUUUUUUAUUUUGUAUAUCGUUGUUAAAAAAAUAUUUUUAUAUAGGAAUAAUAUUUAAAUUUUUAUAUAAAAAAUUAAAUCAGAUCAAGAUGCAGAUUAUAAUUAAGAAUAUAAUGGAUUACAAUAAAUUUAUUUAAAUGAAUAUUAAUAUGAAAAAUUAAUUGAAAGUGGAUUUAAAUGUAAUUUAUAUAUAGUUUUUUAAAAUGAUUAAAAAUUAAAAUAUGUACAUAUUGCCCGUCA